rnacentral:rRNA from 1 species
GUUUAGGCUUUGGUUUCUCGAUGUAUUUCCGGUUCAUCUUUUUGGASAGGUCAGCAUCAGCUACUCGGAAUUGAUUUCGUUCAAAGAAGGUAGGUCCCUCGUGGACCCUUAUAUCUUUGUUCUUUCCUUUUCCUUGUGGCUGAGGAGUGUUCUUGUWUCCGAGCUCCACUUUCGAGUACUCGGUUUCUGUGAUGCUGGCUUAAUCGGUUCCAACCGACCCGUCUUGAAACACGGACCAAGGAGUCUAACAUAUGUGCGAGUAUGCGGGUUUUACUCCUGUAUGCGCAAUGAAAGUGAGAGUAGGGAGAUUUUGGCUUUGCCAUUCUUCGCACCUACGACCGACCACGAUCUCUGAGAGAGGUUUGAGUUGGAGCAUAUCUGUUAGGACCCGAAAGAUGGUGAACUAUGCCUGAGUAGAAUGAAGUCAGGGGAAACCC